rnacentral:rRNA from 1 species
AGUCGAGGGGCAGCAUGAAGUAGCAAUACUUUGAUGGCGACCGGCAAACGGGUGCGGAACACGUACACAACCUUCCUUUUAGUGGGGAAUAGCCCAGAGAAAUUUGGAUUAAUACCCCGUAACAUAACUGAGUGGCAUCACUUGGUUAUUAUAGCUUCGGCGCUAAAUGAUGGGUGUGCGUAUGAUUAGAUAGUUGGCGAGGUAACGGCUCACCAAGUCUACGAUCAUUAGCUGAUGUGAGAGCAUGAUCAGCCACACGGGCACUGAGACACGGGCCCGACUCCUACGGGAGGCAGCAGUAAGGAAUAUUGGUCAAUGGACGCAAGUCUGAACCAGCUAUGCCGCGUGAAGGAUUAAGGUCCUCUGGAUUGUAAACUUCUUUUAUCUGGGACGAAAAAAGGUCUUUCUAGACCCCUUGACGGUACCAGAUGAAUAAGCACCGGCUAACUCCGUGCCAGCAGCCGCGGUAAUACGGAGGGUGCAAGCGUUAUCCGGAUUCACUGGGUUUAAAGGGUGCGUAGGCGGGUAGGUAAGUCAGUGGUGAAAUCCUGGAGCUCAACUCCAGAACUGCCAUUGAUACUAUCUAUCUUGAAUAUUGUGGAGGUAAGCGGAAUAUGUCAUGUAGCGGUGAAAUGCUUAGAUAUGACAUAGAACACCCAUUGCGAAGGCAGCUUACUACGCAUAUAUUGACGCUGAGGCACGAAAGCGUGGGGAUCAAACAGGAUUAGAUACCCUGGUAGUCCACGCCCUAAACGAUGGAUACUCGACAUACGCGAUACACUGUGUGUGUCUGAGCGAAAGCAUUAAGUAUCCCACCUGGGAAGUACGUUCGC